rnacentral:rRNA from 1 species
UACGGGGGGGGCAAGCGUUGUCCGGAAUUAUUGGGCGUAAAGAGCUCGUAGGCGGUUUGUCGCGUCGAAUGUGAAAACCCGGGGCUCAACUCCGGGCCUGCAUUCGAUACGGGCAGACUAGAGUUCGGUAGGGGAGACUGGAAUUCCUGGUGUAGCGGUGAAAUGCGCAGAUAUCAGGAGGAACACCGGUGGCGAAGGCGGGUCUCUGGGCCGAUACUGACGCUGAGGAGCGAAAGCGUGGGGAGCAAACAGG